CAAAGCUCAUUAGCCAAACGAUUAUUCCUCAUUAACAGCGAAAGCUCAUUCAUUAAAAGGAAGAAUAUGCCCAAAAGAUGCCAGCGCGGUUAAUCCUGAGUCCCGUAACUGCGCCUGCCCCUGGCUCAGCGCCCGGUGCCAACAGAACACCUUCAGGAUUCACAGCAACGCAGAAACCGUGAGUACCAGCCGUUCCCUCCAACCAUUUUGCAGGUUGUCUUUAUUUUAAGCACCUAAAACAGAGACAAGCCUCUUCCCCCUUCUCCUCAGCAUCAUGCCACCAGGGUUUUCUGAGUAGCCCCUUCCAAAUCCCUCUGCCUUCAAGUUUGUGCAUGUCUGUGUGGCAUCCCUCCUCCUCCUCCUCCACUCCCAUAGUGGAUCUUGUAAAAGGGCUUCAGAUCGGCCCCAUUCAUCUCCCUGGUGAUAGCAGUGAAUGUAGAUAAAUCUCUGGCUGCCUGCUUACUGCUCCAGUAUGAUUUUUAUUUUGUCUUCUUUAUAUACCUGGAUUAGAGAGAGUGGGAUGUACACAUAUACACAUAUACAUGCAGAUACACGUAUCAUCUCCUCUUUCCUCUGCCAUCCUCUCCUAGUUCUCAGACAUGCAUACAUCCCACAUGUGUGUAUAUGCAAAACAUAUACACCUAUAUACGUACCCAUACCUAUAGCAUGAAAACAGACACAUCUCUAAGCAUUCAGUUUGUCAGAAAGUAUGUGUAUUUGUAUACACAUAUAGCCUUACACACAUUUAUCUAUAUGCAAUCGAUGGCUGCCUGUUUUCACAUCUACCCAUGUAUAGCUCCUUUUAAGUAUUCCCUCUUUUUUCUCAGCAGAGGCUGUGUGCAAUUUCUAUCCAGGAUUGUAAAAGAAGUAUUCUUUCCUUAUGAUUUCUAUUUGUAGACCUUUAUGCUCCCUUCUCUGCCUUCUUCGGAGCUGUAAAAUUGGCAUCUUUCCCUGAGGUUUUCCGAAUGGCAAGUGGCACGGCUGUGGCAUGCAUUCAUGCCGCUUCCUAUGGCAUUUCUCUUCCGAUGUCUGCUUUUCCUCUUUGUUUGCUGUUGACUAGGCUGAAUGGUGGUUUUUGUUUUGUUUUUUUAGUUAAUUAUAAACGAAGUUGAAUAGCAAAUAAGCCAGUAGCUUGCCCCCUCAAAAAAUUUUAAUGAAAAAAAAAAAAAUAGCCCAUACAAGUGCCUUCUGCUGCAACAGAUGCCCACAUCACCCUUGGCAUGGGCAAACGGACAAACAAUUUUGGUGGUUGAUAAUUUUUUCUGAUUGUUGCUGUAUCUGUUGUUUGUUUUCCUUGUUUCUUUUUGAUUUUUCAAGAUGUCCAGGAUCCCGGCCUCUGCUUGGAACGGAACAGUAUCAUGGCGGAGACAACGGCCUUUGUCUUGCUGGGUGUGAAAACAUCCGCUGUGCUGGCUCGACUGCGGCAGAAUCAAGUUUAAAUGAAAAAAGUGAUUAAAGUCAGCUUUGUGCUUCUUUGGUGUGGAAGACCCCCAAACCCCAAGUAGCCGACUCCCAGGGUCCAAGGAAGGGCUCAGAGUUGGAGCAGCGUGGGCUGUAAUCCUGGCACUUGCGCCUCGCGUUGCCGCUUGCUGUUCGCUCCUGGGGGUCUGGAUAAUCUCCCUUGGUUUUACCGCACUGUCUGGCCCGCAUACAGGGCCCGGUAACAUAUACCCGCUGCUGCUAUCACACGAAACUGUGGCGUUGCCCCUGAAUGGAUGGCACUGUGCCAACUCUUCUGCCAUCCGCCCUUGCAGCUUUUCUCUCUCCUCCCGCCCUCCCCUCCUUCUCCUCCUCCCGUCGACUUGACGUUAAUUAACACACGGGUUAAUUGAUUUUAAAAGCCGAAGAAUUACAGUUAACUUUUCCCACAGGGUACAGACGCCAGCCGCUUGGCACACUCUGCCUUCCGCACUGGUGCAGGGGGGCAGGGAAAGCCCGCAGCCAAACUAGCAACUGCUGCGGGAGCGUUGCCUGCUUAUUGGAGUAGAGCGGAUAGAAGCCGACGUGGUACUGCCUCAUCCCGUACAGUGUAUGGAGCCAUUAUAUGUUCUGUCAAAGAGUCAGACACAGCCCUGGCUUUCCUCUGCCUUCCUUUUCCAAACUAGAAAGCCCCUUCAGAAGUUCUUCCAGAGAAGGGGUAAGCCCCUCCCCAAGACCAUGUAUCUCCUCCAUAAAAUGCUUCUUUUCUAGAAAUAGCAAAAUAAUGGCGCCUUUAAGACUUUUUUGAAUUUUUUUUUUUUUAGUUUCACAAAAAUUUCCCUAAAUAGCACAAGUAUUAAGUUGUAUGAAGUUUUUUUUUUUUCAGUGUCUGUUUUAUUUUGUUUCCAUUCCUCUUGGCCAGAUUAGGUUAUUUUGGGUAAAGGAUUUCAGUGAGAAAGUACAUAGUAUAAUUAAGAACAAAAUUCCUACAAGGCUCUUUGUUAUCUUGUAUGUGUGUGUAUCUUUGCUUGCCAUCCCCUUUCCCAGAGCCUCUGUGGAAAAUAAAAGCAGUUGGUAUUGCAGUUGAGAAGGAGUCAGGCAAGGCUGGGAACUUAAUGCUUUUACCUUUUCAUGCUUUCAUUUUAUUUCAUUUUGUUUUUUAAAAGCACACAGCAAGUGAAGCGACAAGAGGAAUCCAUUAUGCAAAUCAUGUCACUUUGCAUAAUGUCUCAUGACUGGAAUAUGCAAAUGAGCUGUAUAAUUUAUGAGUGCCAGUGUCUGUCUAAAAGUGUUUCACAUAAUUUACAAAGUAAGCCUGAGACAGGGUGAAAGCAGCUCUUCCAAGUCCAUUGCCAGGAAAACUGCAUUUUCCUGUAAGUGCCUCUCAUGCUGUCCUCAAGAGCUGUGCAAGAGAUUAAGGCUCCAAGUGUUCAAGGAACACAGAAAUCCUCCCUGCCUAAAAGUUUGCAAGGAACUUCAACUACAAUGGCACAGUUUUUAGAUUCUGUCUCAGAAAGAAACUAUUAAAGCCAAAUGUGCCAUUUGUAUCUAGGUUUUCUUUUGGGAGUCCUGGAAUGUCUGAGAGGAGGGCCUACUGUAUGUGCCUGCAUGUGUGAAAGCAGGAGAAUGGGAGUUCACAUUCCAGUUGGUUCUUGUGUGCUUUGCUCUGUACACCAUUUUAUGAAUCAUAGGCUCAGGAGUCAAUCGUCUUGUGAGGAUAGAAGGCAACUUUCUGCCUUCAAAGGAGAAAUACUGCCUGUCCAAAGCUAGGUUUGACUAGUCACUUUAGGUGACCACUCUAUAUCACUCUUCUUAAAAAUUAUUCUUUUGAGAUGACUCAGCUCUUUGAGAAGUCAUAACAUCUUUAAUAAUCCGAUAUAGUCUGGCCUUAUAUUUUCAUUAUCAUUACAAAGUCUACAAAAAAGAUAUCCCAAGCUAGCUAUCGUGACGGUGCAUACCAGAGGACCUGAUCCUUGGCAGGCUUGCCACAAAGCUUCCUGAUGAAAAUGAGUCCAAGUCAGCUCUGAAAGACGAAGGGAGAUUAAACAAAAAUGAGAAAGUGUUUUUCACGCAGAAGCUUUGGCCAGCAAAUACCUUUGUUCAUUUGCUAGUGCCUCAUCUCUUAGGGCAUUAGUCUGUGUACUUGUAUACCAUUUAUCUCAUAAUGAAAACUACUCUGUAACUACUAUUAGAACAUUUUCUGUAUAAGAUCUCAACUCAUUCCAAAUUUAUACACUGAACCAUCAAAAUUCUGGAUGCGACCUUGUGUGAUAUCCUCCUUUUAAUAUCAUUUGAGAAAAUAAUGAUAGAAAAAAUGACACACCCAGAAGAACAGAAUGCAAACUCUUUACUAGUAUAAUGGAACAUUAAGAUGAACUGCCCUGUGAUCUACAAAAAAAAAAUUAGAAAUAUUCAAGUCAGGAAAAAUAAACUCUCUAGUCCCUCCCCUCCAAAAAAAAUUGGAACACAAAGCAGUGAGAAUGCUCUCUGGAAAAUUUUGCAUGUAGAAUCAAAUAUUUCUAAUGACAUGCAUUUAAGAGGCAGUGGUAAAUUAGAAAAUAUGUUAAUGGAAUGCAAAUGAAAACACAUUAGAAAAUUUCUAAGAUGCGGUUAAGAUGUGCUUGGAAGGAAAAAGCUUUUGUGAUUUACUCUAGAAGCCAGAAAACUUUUGGGUCAUUAAGUCUCCACUUGAGAGGAAAAGAACCUGAACCAAAUGUAAAAAAGAUAUGUCAAACUUCAUCAAAACUGAUAACACUUGCUACUUCAAUGGAAUAAAAUAAUGAAAAAAAAAUCUACAGACUGGGGAAAAUAUUUGCUACCAAUGAUAAAGUUUUUAAAAACCAAACUUAAAAUAACAAAAGCAAAGAAGAAAUGUAGACUUUAAAGUGUGUAGAAGCAACUGAACUGUUAGUAAAAGAUGUAUACUGUAAGAAAUGUUCAAGAAUGCUUCCCAAACAAAUGGCAAAUUAUACCAAGUGAAUAAAAAGCACUGGAAAUGGUAAUUGUCGUUGCCAUGUUUUAAAACUCUUAUUACCUAAAUGUAAUUAAAGAUAAUUUACUCUAAAGCAAAAUAAUAAUUUUUAUAACAAAUGUAACUUGUGACAACAAAAGCUGUUGAAAAGAAAAAUGGAAGCAUUCUGCCCUGAGCUUCUUCUAUAUUUGAGUAGUUCAAUGUCCAUUAGAGUGGACUCUAAUGAGUUAUAGUUGCAUAUCUUAAAAAUAGAAAGCUAAAAUUAAGCCAUGAUUAAUAGGCUAAAAGAGAAAAAGUUGUCACCAAAUAUAUCCAUCUAAUCAAUGACAAGAUAAUAGACUUAAUCUUCAUUAAUUACAUUAAAUGUAAAUGGCCUAAAUAUUUUAAAUGACAAGAUAUGCCAGAUUGCAUAGAAAACCAGUAUUAUACAAAUAAAUGCACCUUUUUUUACAUUCUGCUUCCUCUAUUUCAGAAUCUUCAGGGUUUACUCCCAAACUUACUUUGCCAGUUCCUACUGAAUACUUUAGGCAAGUGCUACCAGAUACUCUAGGCAUCAAUCUCUCUUCUCUAUAAACAGGUCCAAUAUUUCUCCUUGGGUCUAUUCAAGAUUUAACUGUGGUUGUUGCUCUGGUGGCCAACAGGUGAAAUGAAUUCAGGUUCUGAAAACAGAAAACAUUCUGUAAGGCAGCAGCCUCCCUUGAAGCCUUUGCAUUGUCAGAGGCAUGACGUUGUCCCUUUCUCCCAAAAAGGAGGAAUAGUCCCUUUCAGAGGCCCAAAGGAUGCCAAGUAAUCUUAUUCAAGGCUUAGGGUAGCAAAGAUGACUAUAAUGAAAGGUCAGUCUUCUCUUAAAUUCUGAUGCUCUUCCAAGCCACAUUCAAGUCUUUAACUGUACAUUUAACUGUGUCAAAUGACAUUCUUUUCUGUAGGUUGCUUAAUCAACCAAACUCAUCAUUCUCCUUCUUUAUUAAAUCAUUGUUACUCAGCAGCAAUGCACAAGUUCAGUGGCCCUAGUACUCUCUUUAUUGCUCUGAUAAGACAGAGGUAUUACACACCAGAUUCCUUCUCUCUCUCUCCAUCAUAGCCACAUUCACCUGGCUGUGACAGUCAGUCAAGCCCUCAGCACUUUUUCCAGACUAUGCCCCCAGUGAUCACUCGCAGUGAAAACUUCCCCGGGUAGACGUCAGUAAAGACAGAGACCAAAACAGUUUUUUAACAACUGAUGUAAGACAUUAUUCUUACCCUGGGAGAUUUCUGUAAGGAAAGACAUGAAAUAAGAUGAACAAAAAGUUUUGCAAAUAUGUAGAUAAUGGUAGAAAUCUAGCCUCACCUUGAGUUUUAGAGCAUUCUGGAGCAUGUGUUGUUUACCAAAAAACAGCUGAGCUGUUGUACCCCAACAUUACUCAGCUACUGACUCUGGGCUUCCACCUGUGAUGCUGUACAUCCCAGACAUUCUAAAUAAAGUGCUGUACCAAGGCCGGUGUGGUUUUAAUCAGCCAACUGUAGUUCUCUGAGAGGCAAGAGUAAGCUAGUACACUUUAGCAGUUUGUCUUGCUGAAGAAGAUCUAGGCAGAGCCAUGGCAGUUACAAUAACCAAGUUACUAAUAAAUGUGAAAGCAUGUUUUUAUUUAUUUAUUUUAAAAUUAAAGUACACCAAGAUAUGUUCAUUGUGCAUUUAGAAAGAAAAUAUGCACUCUGCAAUUAAGCGUAGGAUUCUAAAAGGUCUGGUUGAUAGUUACUCCACAUCUACAAGUUUUCUGAUUCAGUGUUCAAGUCUUUAGUUAGGAGUAGAAGCCUUUUCGUCUGUCUUUGAUUUCUGUUUCAUGCAUUUUAAGGUUCUGUUAUUAGGUGUAUGUACUUAAAACUGUAGUGUAUUAUUACAGAAAUGAACCCUUCAUCAUUGUGAAAUACUUUUCAUCAUCCCUGGUAAUCCUUGUUUUGAAAUUUACUUUGUAUGAUAUUAAUAGACUAAUAAAUAAUCAUUUUCCUAUAA